UACGUAGGGUGCGAGCGUUGUCCGGAAUUAUUGGGCGUAAAGAGCUUGUAGGCGGUUUGUCGCGUCUGCCGUGAAAACCCGAGGCUCAACCCCGGGCCUGCAGUGGGUACGGGCAGACUAGAGUGCGGUAGGGGAGAAUGGAAUUCCUGGUGUAGCGGUGGAAUGCGCAGAUAUCAGGAGGAACACCGAUGGCGAAGGCAGUUCUCUGGGCCGUAACUGACGCUGAGGAGCGAAAGCGUGGGGAGCGAACAGG
rnacentral:rRNA from 1 species